GUUUCCGUAGUGUAGUGGUUAUCACGUUCGCCACACGCUGAAGGUCCCGGUUCGAGACCGGGCGGAAACA
rnacentral:tRNA from 1 species